UCACCAGCGGGCAUUGGCAUCA
rnacentral:miRNA from 1 species